AUGUCUGUCAAAGAGCACAGUUUCGGUUAGACGGGAGGAUCAGCUCAUGCUUAUUUCAAAACAUAGUGACUAUAGUUAAUAUACUAUGUACUUCAAAACAUCUAAAAGAAAAGAUUUCAAGUGUUCUCACUGCAAAGAAAGGAUAAAUAUUUGAGACGCUGAACUUUUUAAAAGUUACAUUCUUAAGCUUUUCAAGGCUUGUCUAAUAAGUCUGGAAUUCCCGCCCUUGGCAGUGCGAGAUGGAAGCUGAUGUCGCAAGGGUGGCCGAGAAGCAGCUGGGCUGAGCCGCUAAAAGCACAGAGGCCGGGGCCAGACUCCUCAGCCUGAAAUCCUGCUUCCACCAAGCGCUAGCUGGGUAACUUCGGGUGGAGCUUAAUUGGCAGGAAAUGUUUCUCCAGAAGCUGAAAAGCUGCCUGGCAAAGGCCUUUCGUAAAGUGGUCUGCAUUUGGGACCAGGAAGACAGAGGACUCCUCAAGAAGAGAAAUGGAGCCUUAACCCACUACAGACUUCUUAAUGUCUGAAGCGUAUUUCCACCAUCCCAUUGAGAACCAAAGAAGCGAGCUCCUUGGAGAACUGGCUCCCACCUGGACCUUCUGUUUAUUCCAUCCAGUAGCAGCUGCGUUUAUCCUUCCCGCUGAUGACACUUCCAGCCUUCCGUGUUUCAAAGUCUCACGGACUUUGCAAACGAUACCAGGUUUAUAUGGAGCAGAUACCACUUUUGACAAUCGGCAUGCACGUUAUCAUUUCCUCCUAAAGCGUGCUUAGACAGCAAUGCGUGCUGCAGCAAGGCAACCUGUCUCACCCUCACAAAGAUACUCUGCACUUUCAGUGACAAAAUUUUAAAGAAAAGGAGACAAAUGGAACACAAAUUAUUGUCAUCCUUCCCUCCCAGGAAGUGUAGGAAUCAUCCAAGGUGGUAAAAGAGCAGCACUUCUAAACUCUGACUUCACAUGGAAAAUAACUUGACUACUAAAACUGAUAACAAUGGCAGUCCGUGCCGUUUGACAGGGGUGUGUAGGAGAGGUGGUGAGCAAGCUGAAAUCCCUUCAGGUAUUUGCAGAACUUCUGAGCAAAAGCUAAAGCUAAAAUUAACAUUAAAUAUGCAAAGUAUUUUUAACCCAACAUAAAUUAACAAUGUUCCUAUUUCAAUUCUGUUGCUCUUGGGAUGACUAUGUCCUUUGGAAAAUGUUUAAAUAACUUAAGAUUUCCGUCAUGAGUUUACUAUUUCAAAACUUAUUUUUUUAAUUGCAAGAUACCUUUUUAUGUGACCAGGAGUGUUGCCAGCUAGCUACCAAAACCUGCUUGAGGUUCUUCUACUUUAUAUUCUAAAUGACAACAUUGUUUAUUAGUAAUUGUGUCCCCUGUCUACCCACUGGUCCCUUUGGAUGGGAAAGUUUUCAAAAUAACUUCAUAACAAAAUGGUAAGAAAAAUGUGGUCACCAGUUUCAGGAGGAACUCCCAGACAGCUCAGCUCAGAAAAGUGGGUUUUAAAGUCCUCGAAAACGUUGCUGUCAUGAGCUUCGACUUCUUUAGAGUAGCAUUUGUCCAUAGAUCCACCACAGAGGAGGGUUAUACAAAUAAAAGUCAUUUCAAGAAAUUUCCCAUUGCUUUAUUACACGAACAAUGAGAGUAAAGAGCAAUGGGAGCUGAAGAGACAGGAAUGAAGGCCUGCUGGGAGAACGAUCAGAAUAUCCGAAGGAAAUUUAAAAUGCCUGCUGGAAAGCAACACACGGCCUCAGCAUUGUCACUAACACAGAAUGACCACAAUAAAACUGCCCUGCCUUGUGCCUCCUGGCACCUCAUGUCUCUUCAGGUUAAUCAAAGAGAGGCCUGUGUUGCUUUGGAACAAGGUGCAGUCUCCCUCUAAGCUACAGAGAGGCUCCCACCGAGGACCAGCCCCCAGGUUGCAGCUUUGCCCACCCUCCACAGGCUCCAGAGAAGACGGGGUGGCUCUAGAGAGCAAAUUGUCAAAACUUCUAGCGCUAAAUAGAGCUUUAAUGUGUCUCAGAUACUAGCAAAAUAGAGAAGCCUCGGAUGGCUUUAGGUCUGGAAGUAUGUUGCAAAAAAUGCUCAAAGUUUAACAACCCUCAUAAAUCCUCACGAGAUCUUUUUCAGUUUUGUGAAGCAUCAUUAAUUGCCUAUGUGUUUCAAUUUGCAGACAGGCAAGAGUUUGGCUUUUUAGGUUUAAAAAUCCGUACAUCUUAGUUCAUAAUGAUAAUUUAUUUCCAAAAUGGUGACUCAUACUAGGAUUACAUAUAAAACAUCCUAUAUGUAAUAAUAUAUAAAUAUAGUAUAUUAAUUAUUCUGACAUAACCUGGGCAGAGACUUAUGUUAAUUUAUUUUAUUUCUAUUUCAUCUAAAUUAAUCAAUAUUUUACUUAGGUCUAAAACCUUAUAUAUAUAUAUAUAGACUUAUGUAUCAUCGUAUGUAUAAACAUUGUAUCUAUGAGCUGAAUGAUCUGUAGUUUAUUUUAAAUUCUAAUAAACUUUAAAAAUGUGGAGGACUACAUG